UUAGCUUUACCUUGUAAGCCCGAACUGACGUCUAAUGUACUCUGUGGUACACAGCCAGCUGACCAACUGGUUUCACCUUCAGUGGAUUCUUCAAGCACCUUCUCUUCCAAUCACAGCUCACGUCUUAAUGCAGUUUGCUGGACGUGUAUCCUUGAAGGAUUAUAUAUGUUGUUGAGGUGGCCGAACGUCUACGAACAUUGACUCAUUACUUGAUAUGAAGUAGAAACGGAAGUAUUCCAUAUUACAGUGGCAGUAUCCCAAAUUAUGAUCACUUCAGCUAAUAUAUUUCUGGAAGUAUAUGAGAAGAUAUACUUGAGGUGCCUUUAAAGAUGUAAAGUAUAAGUAGUGGUAACAAUUUAAGAGAAAAUCAAUGAUGCAUAUAUAAUAUUGCCAUAUGGAGAAACACACACGGAGACCAACAUACGAUUCAAAGAUACAAUUGUCAUAUUGCGGUGGAUUGCCAUCGCAUAUGUAUGUACAUACAUCAUAAACAUAAAGGCGUUGAAAACCUGUGCCAUUGUUUGAAAGGGAAAAAUUUAAAAGGAGCCUAAAUAGAUACCAGAGAAGUAUUAUUUAAACUACGCGAAGGACUUUUUGAAAUAAGAUGGCAACGAAGAUUCACAUAAAAUGAGUUGUACGGCAAAAGCUUUCAAUAUCGGAUGUAACAAGAGAAAUAUGCUGAAAAUACUACUAAGAUAUACUUAGAUAAGACUGCUUACAUGUUUAUAAUACAAUAGCUUACCCAAUUUAUUUUAAUUGGAGAUAUGUGCGUGUAUGCUUGCAUAGCAAUAUGUACUGUUAAUAUAUAAACUAUGUAUUUAUUUUUGUACUGAAUCGUUACUAGAAAAAAGAUUAACAUAAUAAAAUGUUUGAACAUA